UACGUAGGGGGCUAGCGUUGUCCGGAAUCAUUGGGCGUAAAGCGCGUGUAGGCGGUCCGGUAAGUCCGCUGUGAAAGUCGGGGGCUCAACCCUCGGAUGCCGGUGGAUACUGUCGGGCUUGAGUACGGAAGAGGCGAGUGGAAUUCCUGGUGUAGCGGUGAAAUGCGUAGAUAUCACUUGGAACGCCAAUGGUGAAAACAGCUCGCUGGGAAUGAUCUGACACUGAGACGCGAAAGCCAGGGGAGCGAACGGG
rnacentral:rRNA from 1 species